rnacentral:rRNA from 1 species
UACGUAGGAGGCGAGCGUUAUCCGGAUUUAUUGGGCGUAAAGCGCUUGCAGGCGGUUUGGGAAGUUGGAUAUGAAAGCUCCUGGCUUAACUAGGAGAGGUUAUUCAAAACUCUCAGACUAGAGGAUGGUAGAGGAAGGUGGAAUUCCGGGAGUAGUGGUGAAAUGCGUAGAUAUCCGGAGGAACACCAGUGGCGAAAGCGGCCUUCUGGGCCAAACCUGACGCUAAGAAGCGAAAGCUAGGGUAGCAAACGGGAUUAGAGACCCCGGUAGUCCUAGCAGUAAACGAUGUAGACUAGGCGUUGGUGGGUUUAAAUCCAUCAGUGUCGAAGCAAACGCGAUAAGUCUACCGCCUGGGGAGUACGGCCGCAAGGUUAAA